rnacentral:rRNA from 1 species
AAAGAAACCAACCGGGAUUGCCUUAGUAACGGCGAGUGAAGCGGCAAAAGCUCAAAUUUGAAAUCUGGCGUCUUCGACGUCCGAGUUGUAAUUUGAAGAAGGCAACUUUGUAGCUGGUCCUUGUCUAUGUUCCUUGGAACAGGACGUCAUAGAGGGUGAGAAUCCCGUGUGGCGAGGAUCCCAGUUAUUUGUAAAGUGCUUUCGACGAGUCGAGUUGUUUGGGAAUGCAGCUCUAAGUGGGUGGUAAAUUCCAUCUAAAGCUAAAUAUUGGCGAGAGACCGAUAGCGAACAAGUACAGUGAUGGAAAGAUGAAAAGAACUUUGAAAAGAGAGUGAAAAAGUACGUGAAAUUGUUGAAAGGGAAGGGCAUUUGAUCAGACAUGGCGUUUGCUUCGGCUUUCGCUGGGCCAGCAUCAGUUUUAGCGGUUGGAUAAAUCCUCGGGAAUGUGGCUCUGCUUCGGUAGAGUGUUAUAGCCCGUGGGAAUACAGCCAGCUGGGACUGAGGAUUGCGACUUUUGUCAAGGAUGCUGGCGUAAUGGUUAAAUGCCGCCCGUC